rnacentral:tRNA from 1 species
GAGGGUAUAGCUCAAGCACUAGAGCACAUGCUUAGCAUGCACAAGGUCCUGGGUUUAAUCCCCAGUACCUCCU